UGGGGAAUAUUGGACAAUGGGCGCAAGCCUGAUCCAGCCAUGCCGCGUGAGUGAUGAAGGCCCUAGGGUUGUAAAGCUCUUUCACCGGUGAAGAUAAUGACGGUAACCGGAGAAGAAGCCCCGGCUAACUUCGUGCCAGCAGCCGCGGUAAUACGUAGGGGGCUAGCGUUGUCCGGAAUCACUGGGCGUAAAGGGUUCGCAGGCGGAAAUGCAAGUCAGGUGUAAAAGGCAGUAGCUUAACUACUGUAAGCAUUUGAAACUGCAUAUCUUGAGAAGAGUAGAGGUAAGUGGAAUUUUUAGUGUAGCGGUGAAAUGCGUAGAUAUUAAAAAGAAUACCGGUGGCGAAGGCGACUUACUGGGCUCAUUCUGACGCUGAGGAACGAAAGCGUGGGUAGCAAACAGG
rnacentral:rRNA from 1 species